rnacentral:rRNA from 2 species
GCGGCGGACGGGUGAGUAACACGUGGGUAACCUGCCUGUAAGACCGGGAUAACUCCGGGAAACCGGUGCUAAUACCGGAUAGAUUAUCUUUCCGCCUGGAGAGAUAAGGAAAGAUGGCUAUUGCCAUCACUUACAGAUGGGCCCGCGGCGCAUUAGCUAGUUGGUGAGGUAACGGCUCACCAAGGCGACGAUGCGUAGCCGACCUGAGAGGGUGAUCGGCCACACUGGGACUGAGACACGGCCCAGACUCCUACGGGAGGCAGCAGUAGGGAAUCUUCCGCAAUGGACGAAAGUCUGACGGAGCAACGCCGCGUGAGUGAAGAAGGUCUUCGGAUCGUAAAGCUCUGUUGUUAGGGAAGAACAAGUAUCGGAGGAAAUGCCGGUACCUUGACGGUACCUGACGAGAAAGCCACGGCUAACUACGUGCCAGCAGCCGCGGUAAUAC